UUAUUUCAUUAGUAUUUAAUGCAACACUUGUUGCUUGUUCUCAGUGACACGUGAAUGGGUAAAAUGGCAUCUUUCACAGUAUUUCUGCCAUCCUUUUACUUGUUUUGGGUCAUCACUUCUCACUUCCUGUUUGCAUUUACUCAUGUCCAUGGACUUCCAAAACCUGAGCUGAUUGUAUCCUCUUCAGUAAUUUUGCCGACAACCACAGUCACUCUGAGUUGUGUAGUCCCUCAGGAUCCAGUGCCUCAGUGUUUUUUCUCAGUGGGAACACACAUCACCUCUUCAUCAUCAUGCCAGCUGACCCUCACAGCAGAACAAAUGAAAGUCUGGGGACAUGUAAACCCACCUUCAGUGCUUCCAGUGAAAUGUUUCUACACUGUAAAAGGGUCUGGUGUUAAUCAUCCCUCUGAUCUCUCUUCUCCUGUUUCAGUGUUUGUGCUGGGUGAGUGAAGAAGCAUCACUACUGUUAAUUCACUUAACAUUCACUCUGUUUGGCAUUUCUGAGUUAAUUCCUGCCUUCUGUCUGCUGAUAGAUCAUUUGCAGAAACCCAUGGUAGGCGUGUACCAUGACCAAAAAAACAUGCUGUUCGACAUUGUUUGUGAAAUACCCAAGCAGUCCUGGAAUGUCAUCGGAUGCCAGCUUUACACUGGACAUGGGGAGAACUUUUACUUGACAGCUAAAAUACAAAAAGCAUCUGGAAACUGCCAUUUUUCCGUGGACAAAAAUGAUCUAUUCAGACGUCUGCAGUCAGUGGGGAGCAGAGAGGUGAGCUGUGAUUAUACAGUGAACACAGAACCUUCAUCUCUCUCUCCACGCAGUGACCCUUACACCAUUCCAGGAUUUCUUGCAACAGGAUACCAGCCCCUGACCAAAAAUACUCCUUUAACAUCAUCAGAAGCAGGU